UACGUAGGUGGCAAGCGUUACUCGGAAUCACUAGGCGUAAAGCGCGGGUAGGCGGUUGGGUAAGUCUGUUGUGAAAGCUCCUGGCUUAACUAGGAGAGGUCAACGGAAACUACCUGGCUAGAGUGUGGUAGAGGAAGCUGGAAUUCCCGGUGUAGCGGUGAAAUGCGUUAGAUAUCGGGGAGGAACACCUAUGGCGAAAAGC
rnacentral:rRNA from 1 species